GAUGAACGCUGGCGGCGUGCUUAACACAUGCAAGUCGAACGGGAAAUAUUUCAUUGAGACUUCGGUGGAUUUGAUCUAUUUCUAGUGGCGGACGGGUGAGUAACGCGUGGGUAACCUGCCUUAUACAGGGGGAUAACAGUCAGAAAUGGCUGCUAAUACCGCAUAAGCGCACAGAGCUGCAUGGCUCAGUGUGAAAAACUCCGGUGGUAUAAGAUGGACCCGCGUUGGAUUAGCUUGUUGGUGGGGUAACGGCCCACCAAGGCGACGAUCCAUAGCCGGCCUGAGAGGGUGAACGGCCACAUUGGGACUGAGACACGGCCCAGACUCCUACGGGAGGCAGCAGUGGGGAAUAUUGCACAAUGGGGGAAACCCUGAUGCAGCGACGCCGCGUGGAGGAAGAAAGGUCUUCGGAUUGUAAAACUCCUGUUGUUGGGGGAAGAGUAAUGACGGUACCCAACAAGGAAGUAGACGGCUAACUACGUGCCAGCAGCCGCGGU
rnacentral:rRNA from 1 species